rnacentral:rRNA from 1 species
UACCAGCACCCCGAGUGGUCGGGACGAUUAUUGGGCCUAAAGCAUCCGUAGCCGGUUCUACAAGUCUUCCGUUAAAUCCACCUGCUUAACAGAUGGGCUGCGGAAGAUACUAUAGAGCUAGGAGGCGGGAGAGGCAAGCGGUACUCGAUGGGUAGGGGUAAAAUCCGUUGAUCCAUUGAAGACCACCAGUGGCGAAGGCGGCUUGCCAGAACGCGCUCGACGGUGAGGGAUGAAAGCUGGGGAGCAAACCGG